GUUUCUCCAUUCGAACUUGGCCAUUCAAGGGAGUUUUCCAUCCUCAAGGGGGAGCGGUUGAGCCUAGACUGUAUUUCUGCAAGGAGAUGGUUGAGAAACAGCAAACGCUCCAAGAUGAAGGUCCAGACCGUGUGGUGUGUGGCUGUUUCUCUCUUUGCUGCAGGGCUUGCAGGCAAAGAGAUCCACCAGGCACCAAGCUUGAUGGUGAAGGAGGGCGGAAUAGCCCAGCUGGAAUGCAGUCAAACCUACGGACACGAUAACAUGUAUUGGUACAAGCAACAGCCCCAGGGGAUGGCCCUUCAGCUUCUCUAUUACUCCAUUGAAAAUGCUGUGGAGACCAACGAGAUCAAGUCGGACAGACUGACGGCUCGUCGGCUGGACAAUAAAGUCUUUUGCUUGAACAUCUCCUCGGUCGAAGCAAGCGAUACAGCCGUGUAUUUCUGUGCUAGCAGAAGAUACACAGUAGUCAGGAGCUCUUCCUGCAGUGUGCAAUAACCGCCUGCCCUGGCUGUGUUUAGCAACGUGACACCUGUUGUCUUUGAGAACUAGGCCUUAGAAGGGGUGGGCUGCUGUUUGAAAGGAGUUUUGCUCUGACUGGGGAAUUCCACCCGGCGUAAUGUGUGCUGCCACCGUUUCACUCUGACUGAUGGGAGAGGAACUGCAUUCAUCACCGCAGACCCUGCGCCAGGGUCACCUUGAUGUUGUUACAGUUCCCAUCAUCUCUGAAUAAUGACCAUGUUGGCUGGGGGCUGUAGUCGGAUGGAGGGCCACCAUUUCCCUAUCCCUGCCUUAUCAUUUAAGAAUUACAUCAUAGGGUCCAUCGAGGGCUGCUGAACCCUUGAGUUGCCGGUGAUGCAUUUCUCUCCUUCUGUUUUAAAUAAAACAAUAAAUAUCUCAGGCCCUUGGCUAAUUAGACAAUCUCUGGUUGGUUGGUUGGUUGGUUGGUUGGUUGGUUGGUUGGCAGGCAUCCUUUUGUCUAGGGUGACAAUGGAAGAAUGUGCCUUUGGGGGGUGAAGUCAAACCAUUGGCGAGUUACAGAGCCUGCCGUAGAGACCAAUUAGGGGAGAGACAUGUUUUGUUGCAACUGGGGAAGAUGAAGGUGUCUGAUUGUGCUGAUCUAUGGCCUUUUAAAUUGAGUGUGGGGGUUAUUGUUUUCAUUUGUUAUUACAGUAUGUUUUUUUGUGUUUUUAUGUUGCAAGCUGCCCUGUGAUCUUCGGAUGAAGCGUGGUCUAGAAAUUAAAUAAGUGUGUAAAAUAUAUUUUAUAGGAUGAUGCUUUGAGGCAACUAUUCCUUUUAAUCAGUUUUUGCUAACCGGGCAAAAUGUUUUGGACUCCCAUCAGCCCCAACCAGUGCAAUUGUUUGGCAAAGGGUACUUUACAGCUUCAUUUAAAAAGAAAGCAGAAAUUAGUUCCUU